UACGUAGGGGGCAAGCGUUGUCCGGAUUUAUUGGGCGUAAAGAGCGUGUAGGCGGCCUGACAGGUCUGCUGUGAAAACUCGAGGCUCAACCUCGAGAUGUCGGCGGAAACCGUCUGGCUAGAGUCCGGAAGAGGAGAGUGGAAUUCCUGGUGUAGCGGUGAAAUGCGCAGAUAUCAGGAAGAACACCCGUGGCGAAGGCGGGUCUCUGGGCCAUAACUGACGCUGAGGAGCGAAAGCGUGGGGAGCGAACAGG
rnacentral:rRNA from 1 species